CGAACUCUGGUAUUGAUUGGUGCUUGCAUCAUGAUUUACAUUUGAGUGAGUGGCGAACUGGUGAGUAACACGUGGGAAACCUGCCCAGAAGCGGGGGAUAACACCUGGAAACAGAUGCUAAUACCGCAUAACAACUUGGACCGCAUGGUCCGAGCUUGAAAGAUGGCUUCGGCUAUCACUUUUGGAUGGUCCCGCGGCGUAUUAGCUAGAUGGUGGGGUAACGGCUCACCAUGGCAAUGAUACGUAGCCGACCUGAGAGGGUAAUCGGCCACAUUGGGACUGAGACACGGCCCAAACUCCUACGGGAGGCAGCAGUAGGGAAUCUUCCACAAUGGACGAAAGUCUGAUGGAGCAACGCCGCGUGAGUGAAGAAGGGUUUCGGCUCGUAAAACUCUGUUGUUAAAGAAGAACAUAUCUGAGAGUAACUGUUCAGGUAUUGACGGUAUUUAACCAGAAAGCCACGGCUAACUACGUGCCAGCAGCCGCGGUAAUACGUAGGUGGCAAGCGUUGUCCGGAUUUAUUGGGCGUAAAGCGAGCGCAGGCGGUUUUUUAAGUCUGAUGUGAAAGCCUUCGGCUCAACCGAAGAAGUGCAUCGGAAACUGGGAAACUUGAGUGCAGAAGAGGACAGUGGAACUCCAUGUGUAGCGGUGAAAUGCGUAGAUAUAUGGAAGAACACCAGUGGCGAAAGCGGCUGUCUGGUCUGUAACUGACGCUGAGCUCGAAAGUAUGGGUAGCAAACAGGAUUAGAUACCCUGGUAGUCCAUACCGUAAACGAUGAAUG
rnacentral:rRNA from 2 species